rnacentral:lncRNA from 1 species
GUCUCAGCACCCCCUGGGGGCUUGGGUGGGUAGCAGGGCCGUUGGGGACCCAAGAGGCUCCUCCCCGGGGCAGCCCGUCUCAGAAAAACCGUCUGAGAUCUUUUCCCGACUCAGCCAGGCUUGUUGCAGCUUUUCUGGGCUGCAGGGGGUCCUGCCUGGAGCUGGCAGUCCUGUGCUUGUUCUAGCUUUUCUGGGCUGCAGGCCUUUUCUCGGGUGCUGGUGGUGUUUGGUGCUGCUCUGCGGAAGUGUAGCCCCUCCAAAGGGCAAGCAGACCUGUGCAGGGACAGCCCCUGCGGUGGUAGGCUUCAGGCAAUUGUUGAGGCCAGCCCUCCUGGAUGGCAGGCAGCCCCAGGUUCAGCGAGAGCAUAGUGGGUGGCGGGGUGGGGGGAGGGAAUGCACUGGGAAGCACAGCUUUCAGCUAGCUAGCGGGCCUGUAAGCUUGCUGUGGCGUGGGGGGUAUUCUAUGGGGACCCACCCCUUCUUCUCUCCCCUCCCCAGCAGGGGUGCAGACCAGGCUCUUCUCCCAGGUUCCCUCUGAUGCGGCUUUCCACUUCCCCGCCCCUGGAGUAUUGCUCCCUUCCUCUGUGACAGCUUUGUUUUCUAGUCUCCCAGGCAGUCUCUGCCCCGUCAAAUGGUUUCUAGACCUCCCAAGCAGUUUCCGCUCCGCCCCGCCCCCCCCAGCCCGGGGACUAAUCUCUGGAGCCGAGGUCUCGGUGCCCAGCCCCCACCCAGGCGUCUCAAUUUUUGGUGACUGUGCCCGUAGUUCAGAUGGUCUGUUGGGUUCUUGACCGGCUUUUCCGUACUCCAACUUACUGCUACACUCUUCUCUGCAUCUGGAGAUUUCUCCGGUUUGUUUGAUCUUUCCCCCGGUAGGUGACUUUCCAGGGUGCGGGAUCCCUUUCUCCUCCACAGUUCCCUUUCGGGAGCGCCCGUCCCGCUCGGAUUCACCUUCUCUCACUCUCCUCUUUUCUCCCGUUCUGCCCAGUAAUAUCACGAACUUCUUGCCGUUAUUGGAGUUUAGGUUUCUCUGCCAGCGAUUGGUUGCUGUUCUGUGCGAGUCAUUUCUUCUGUAGAUGUGCUUUUUUUGUUGUGUUUGUGGGAGAGGGCGAGCGUGUCUCCCUACUCCUCCGCCAUCUUGUCCUCCCUUCCUUUUUUUUUUUUUAAAUCAGUAAAUUUAACUGUGAGGUAUCCAAAGUCCAUAUGGAGUGGAGCAGUGGGAGACUUUGUAGCCCUGUUUCUUUCUCUGCACAUUUCAUCUUGAAGAUCACUCAUUAAUCCAAGUACUGCCAGAACAUGUAAGGAAACCAGAGCAUGCAUGCCCUUAAAAAGUUUAAACCCCCUUUUUCCAUUUUUGAAAAUGGAAGGAGACUCUGAAGGAAGGAAUUUCAGGACUAUGAGGUCCUGCUAUUCCACUUAUGGAGAUCUUCUUUCCUGGCUAAAUUUGGAAGAGCAAGGUGUGACUUCUCCUCCGCCCUAUCUGAAAGGUCUCUGCAUUCCAAAUUAGCUGUAGAAUGGAUGGGGUCUUCCGAAUUCCUUCUUUCCAUACUGUCCCUGGAGAUAGUCCCUUUUCCCUAUUGAAUUGUUGCCUAUUAUGGGGAAAACAGGAAGCAUAGCCAAAUAACAACCAAACGGCAGUAUCAAAGCUUUGCCAAGUUAGUCCAAGGUUUUGUAGGUCUUAACUCUCACUGGUAUGGUAACUAGAAAUUUAUGCCAUUUUUUAUUUCUCAAUAUCACCCUACUCCCACCACCACACACAUCCAUCUUCCUUUAGGAACAUCAACAGGAGCAUGCCUUAGUUGCAGCCUGCUCCUCUUCAUUUGCCUCUGAGUUUUUAUGAUAUAAUCAACACAGAACAAUACUUGGAAAAGUUAGCCCUUCAGCCUGCUCAGAUGUGAACCCUUCUGGGAAGGUCCUCAUCAGUACUCAAACAUUUGCUAAAUAGCUAUGAUUUUAUAACUUUUACAAACCUCAGAAAUUAGAAAAUCAAACAAGUCUUCUCCCCUUCCAAAUACAGAUCCUUCUCAAUGUAGACAUUUUAUUGACAAAUGUGCUCUUCUAUUUGAGAAAAAAAAAAAAACCUGUCUGUAACUCAGCACAAAUGCCACUAUAGGCAGAAAUGGAAGUGAGCAGUUAUAGCUAAGUCAACAAAGUAUGGCUGGGAACUUUCCCUUCUGACCCGCUGGUUUCCACUUACUUUCAAAUGGCACUUGUGAUGUUUCUAUUCAUCAGAUAGAAAAUUUGACUCGGAUUAACCACUUGUAAUUUGGCUUUAAAUUAUUCCAGGAAAAAUAAACAUCCUAGAGCAAUAAUCUAAUUCAUUUUAUCUGAAGGCUUUGAAGCCAAGAAAUUAGCAAAGACUUCACUGGAACCAUUUUUAGACCCCUGCAUCCCACAGGAAUGGGGAUGGGGAGUUACUUUCAGGGAGGUUAAUUUCAUGAUCUCCUCCCUACCACGCAGAAUAGUAGCCCCUUCAAUCAACAAGAUGGAACUGAGAUGAAUGUCACAGUUUAGAGUUAGUUGACUACUACAGCCAUGGGUAGAGUUAUGACUAUUUCAGGAACUCAGUUUCUGAAUCCAGGCCCUCUUGUGACUGGGUUAUUGGGAAAACCAUAAAAGUCCUUCUUUUUCUUUUCCUUUAUUCCAAGUGAUGUCACAGUUUGAAGAUCUUAUGUAGUACCCAAGCAUGGGGGUAGAGUAAAGAUAUAGUCUUCCAGGUCCUUAGACCCUGUCAGUUACUGCUGAGCCCUCUGCCCCCAUAGGUUUUUCUCAGGUGCUGUGUCCUCUCCAAUGUCUUUGCCACCCUUGAGGCACAGAACUCGUUGCCAAGGUCACUGUUGGUCCAUAUACCUAGACAUUCCAUACAGCCCUUCCUCUCUUGAGUCUUCCUGCCAAUCAAGUGUUGCUUCUGGAAGUAUAUGAUGCUUGAGCACCCACAGAGCACUCUCUGCAUCUUUCCCCCAAGAAGAGGGAAAUGAGGAAAAGAAGAAUCUUUUUCUAGGCUUAUGCAAAUCUUUCUUUUAGUUUCUUGGCCUGGAUAUUUUGUCUCAGUGCCUGGACUCGAGUCCUCCUUCCCUAGGGCUUAUACUUUUGGAACAUGAAAGCCAUAGAGACCAACAGAGUAUUUGUUUUCCUGACUUGCCACCUCCCUCUCCUGAGAUACACCACAAAGUUGACUACUUUAGGGGACACAAGAGAAAAGAGAAAGAGGGGAAAAUACGGGAAAUAAAUAAAUCCAUUUAUAUCUCAAGAUAAUAUUGCAGCCACAUUCUGCCGCUAUUAAAUCUUAGCAUUUCAGCAAAGAAAAUUUACUUCUCAUCCAGAUGCCCCCUCCUCAAGAUAGUAAUUCCCAAGGCUUGGAUGCCUGGGUGAUCUUUUCUCCAGGCAAGUCUUGGGACUGGGGGAAUUUCUCACCUGGAUGACCUAGGGGAUGUUAAUGUCCUCCCAGGAGGCUCUCUUUAUUCCCAGCACAAGUUGAAUGUCUCCUGAGUAAGAAUAAGCACCAUCUACCUCAGAAAUGAGCAGCUAUCUUUGGCAUAGUGACUGACUUAGAAGCACUCCACCUUUCAGAUCGGACACUGUACUUUCUCGAGCCUUAAAAUGGAGUCUGAUCUCCCCUUCCUAGACACAAUCUUCCCUCAUGUGCCCUAGGCCAUAAAUCAGGGAGCAAAUUUAAGGUAAGUGCCAUUGCCUUGGCAGCUGACUCUUGGAGAACCUAAAAAAGAGUAAGCCCACAUCACUCUCUAAAACUUGCUAGGUUUCCAAAAUCAUAACUCCUCUGCAAAGUCUCCCGUGGGCAGGAUACAGAGCUUCAAUUCGGGUUGCUGGAAAAGACCAUUCCCUCUCCAAAAGAUUGGUUCUUCUUGAAAGGUACAGUAUAGUGUAUUUUUCCAGGAAUCAGAGAAUUCAGUUUCCUGGGCUAAUGAACAAGAUGGCAUUUGCCUGCCUAACUUUCCUUCCUAUCUCUUUCCCUCCUUCCUUCCCUCCCUCCUUCCCUUCCACUGACAUUUCUGUAUCUGUUCCAACAUUCCAUAUUAGUCUUUCAAAACAGUUUUGUUACAAAUACUUCCUGUAGCAGGAAUGAAUCAGUCUACCACUACCACCACUACUGGUAUUACCAUUACCACUACCGCCACUACUAUUACCACACCACCACCACUGCUCCUACUACUCCUACUACUUACUACUACUACCACUACCGCCACUACUAUUACCACACCACCACCACUGCUCCUACUACUCCUACUACUUACUACUACUACCACUACUGCCACUACUAUUACCACACCACCACCACUGCUCCUACUACUCCUACUACUUACUACUACUUACUACUACUAGUAGUAAGUAGUAGUAAAAUAACAUUUACUAUGCGCUUUAUACAAACCCAUUGAAUCCUACGGGGUAAGUGCCAUCAUUAACACCAUUUUUCCGAUUAGUAAACCUGGGCACAAAGAGGUUAAAGAACUUGCCCAUGGUAACAAAGCAAUUAAAUAGCAAAGUGCAGCUUAAACCCGCUUAGUUUAGUUCAGAAUACAUGUUCUUAAUCAUUUUGUUGUAUCUUUCUUUAUUGUCUAUGAUCCAUUUAACUUUAGACUCUAAACUCCCCAUUUCAUGGGCCUGGUAAAAUAGCUUAAUUAACUUCAAUUCAUCUUGACAUUCCUCCAUCCCAGGCUCAUGCCGCAGUUCUGGGCUAUUACACAGUGCUGUCCUGGGAGUGGAAGUCCAUUAAGUGCUUGGUCAUCAGGCGACACAACUUAGCAGUCCAUUGCCUUUGCCCACAGUGUUCUUUUAUGCUCUGGUAGGGCUUUGUUGCACUGGGACCCUGCCAGUGGCUGGGGUAUUUUUAGCUACCUAGUCUCGGGAGUUCCCGUCAUGGCUCAGUGGUAAUGAACCUGACUAAUAUCUGUGAGGAUGUGGGUUCAAUCCCUGGCCUCACUCAGUGGGUUAAGGAUCUGGCCUUGCUGUGAGCUGAGGUGUAGUUCACAGAUGCAGCUGGGAUCUGGCAUUGCUAUGGCUGUGGUGUAGACCAGCAGCUGCAGCUCCAAUUCAACCACUAGCCUGGGAACUUCCAUGUGCCGCAGGUGUGGC